GAGGGCAGCACCACCGGCAAACAGAGGACCAGAAGCAAGUGAACCCAACACCAAGAGAGAAGACGUCCCCACACCGUGAGAGGCUUCCCCGUCUCCCUGGACCAGUGGCGGAGAGCCUGGUACCGUAGGAAUGGGAGCUGGUUUCCCGGAGAUGAUGUCAGACAGUCGCUUGGGGCCCUGCACAGCCCUUGAGGACGCGUCUGGAGGAAACACACCUGGUACCACCCAAGUCGUGAGGACGGUUCUGUAGCAAAGAGAGGUCACGUACUGUCCCAAGGCCAAAGAACCAGCUCUAGGUGGAUGGCCACGGCCUGAGUAGCCACCAGUGAUCCUGAGACACCACAGGCCCCAUCCCAGACUGGCUUCUAGAGGGGUUCCCUCGAGCCAUUCGAGAUCACGCUAUCGGCAAUGUGCACAACUGGCCCAGACACCACUCUCUAUCCAUCGAGAAAGUCAAUUCAAGGAGCCACUUUCAAGUCUCAUUAGGUCGACACCACAUGGUAAGGGUCUUGGGGCAUUCGUGUUUGGCUAAAGAUAUCCCUGAACACUGGUCAUGGAGGACCGUGCAUUCUGAGGCACUUGGCCAACGCUGGAGCUACACCUGGCCGACCUGGCCCGUGUCCUUACCCCUGGGUCCGAGGGUCCUCCCACUGCGUGGUGCGUGUGUUAUGGUUCACGUAAUACACCCGUCCGUUGUCCUGUCUCUUCUCUGUCAUGGGAGAAUAAAGAAAAGACGACAAUCAGCUUGCAA